rnacentral:rRNA from 1 species
GAUGAACGCUAGCGGCAGGCUUAAUACAUGCAAGUCGAGGGGCAGCACGGGUAGCAAUACUUGGUGGCGACCGGCGCACGGGUGCGUAACACGUAUACAACCUACCUAUAACAGGGGGAUAGCCUUUCGAAAGAGAGAUUAAUACCCCGUAAUAAGUUGAAUGGCAUCAUUUGACUUUGAAAGUUCCGACGGUUAUAGAUUGGUAUGCGUCCUAUUAGCUAGUUGGUGGUGUAACGGACCACAAAGGCGACGAUAGGGAGGGGAUCUGAGGGGGCUAACCCCCGCACUGGUACUGAGACACGGACGAGACUCCUACGGGAGGCAGCAGUAAGGAAUAUUGGACAAUAGUCGCAAGACUGAUCCAGCCAUGCCGCGUGCAGGAAGACGGCCCUAUGUGUUGUAAACUUCUUUUGUACCAGAGAAAACCUACUCACGUGUGAGUAGCUGAUAGUAUGGUAAGAAUAAGCAUCGGCUAACUUCGUGCCAGCCGCCGCAGUAAUAC